rnacentral:tmRNA from 1 species
GGGGGUGAUGGGUUUCGAUAGAAAAUUACGAUUUUGUUGGCAUGCCGAGGAGGCCUCAGUCCUCGUUAAUUGUUGGGGCAACUAAUAAGUGCCAACUUAUUUUCAAAGGCCAAAGCUGCUUUUGCCAGUGCUUUUAGCCCGGCUUACAGCUUCGCGCCUGUAGCUGCUUAAUUUAGCGGCUUCCGUCGUCUCAGUGACGCCUAAUAACUGAAGGCGGCGCAAACCAUUGGGCUUGGAAUGUUUUAUCCGCCGGUAUAAAACAAACGACAAUUCUCCGGCUCGCCGGUCAAGCUUUCGUUUUCUUUGAUUUGCCCGGUUAAAAAAAUAAGAAGACUAAGCAUGUAGAAGGUAAGGUUGUGGUUUUUUAGACGCGAGUUCAACUCUCGCCACUUCCACAA